rnacentral:rRNA from 1 species
GACGAACGCUGGCGGCGUGCUUAACACAUGCAAGUCGAACGAAGAGCGAUGGAAGCUUGCUUCUAUCAAUCUUAGUGGCGAACGGGUGAGUAACGCGUAAUCAACCUGCCCUUCAGAGGGGGACAACAGUUGGAAACGACUGCUAAUACCGCAUACGAUCUAAUCUCGGCAUCGAGGAUAGAUGAAAGGUGGCCUCUACAUGUAAGCUAUCACUGAAGGAGGGGAUUGCGUCUGAUUAGCUAGUUGGAGGGGUAACGGCCCACCAAGGCGAUGAUCAGUAGACGGUCUGAGAGGAUGAACGGCCACAUUGGGACUGAGACACGGCCCAGACUCCUACGGGAGGCAGCAGUGGGGAAUCUUCCGCAAUGGACGAAAGUCUGACGGAGCAACGCCGCGUGAGUGAUGACGGCCUUCGGGUUGUAAAGCUCUGUUAAUCGGGACGAAAGGCCUUCUUGCGAACAGUUAGAAGGAUUGACGGUACCGGAAGAGAAAGCCACGGCUAACUACGUG